rnacentral:tRNA from 1 species
GGGCCGUUAGCUCAUUUGGUAGAGCGCUUGCCUUGCACGCAGGAGGUGGCCGGUUCGAGCCCGGCACGGUCCA